UAAUCCCCUCAAAGCAGCCUCCUGCCGGUGAAUUAUCACCACAUCAGCCCCGCGCACACAGCAGCUCACUUCAUUUGACUCAAUUGUUCUUUAUCUCCUCUCAAAGCCUCGCGAGACCCUCCCCGCGAUGAAAGCACGGCCAGAUGUAUCUCGUCCGUGAAUGCGAAUGAGAACGGAGAGGCUUUGCUUGGCUUCCGGCCGCCGCUUCGGAAAUAAUUCGGCGGGAUUUCCCCCAAGGCUGCGAAUCAUUUCACACGCGCCCCCGAGGUGGAGAUAGGGCGGGAUCGACGGGCUCAAAAUGCCUGCGCGAUACGAAAGAGGGAGUCGCUAGUUUCAAAAUCGCUCGCAAGAUCCGGACGUAGCCUCACUUCGCUAAUCGCGAGUGUCUGACCAAAGCGGCACUGCGCGUGCGCGCGUGCGAUUCUCAAACGUGCGUUGAUAAUCGCCACGUGAUUAUGAAAGUGUGGAGUCGUGAUCGAACACUGUCCAGCUUCGACAUAAUAGCAGCACUAGCAAUACCAAGCUAGCGUUAGCACUUUUAACAAGCCUACGUUAGCCACUGCUGCUACAAGACAAACACGACGAGUGAUUUAUGGAACGUGGAAUAAUUAAAAACGCACCUUCGAGGAUUCGCAGAACUUCAGUGUAUUAAAAUAAGCAACAAAAUAGGCCCGCAAGCCCGAAAAAAACCAAAACCUAAAAUGGACGCUGGAGCUUUUCCUUUCCUUUACCUGCAGUGUGGGGAAGCUCUUCUGCCUGUCCCCCCAGCUGAGGAUCCACACCUGGUCUCGAGACUUGACGUAGUGCAGCUUGACGGGAUACGGGAUGGGCGGGCGGCGCUGGCCCGUGAUGGCGCAGGUGAGCGCGGCGCUCUGGCCCACCGUCACCGUCUUCACCGUCACCCUCUGGUGGUCCGCGAGCUCCAGCUGGUACACGUCUGUCGAUUACAGGACAGUGCGGAGUCACGGACGGCAAGUUUGAUUUUGUAAAGUUGUUUGAUGUUUGCGGAUAUCGAUUACGUCGGAAUCCGUCGGAAACAUGCACCAACUCAGAAUAGGGACCCGCGAUGUAAAAUCCAUCCUGAGAGGCCCAAAAUAUGAUUAUUAAUGAUUACAAGGUUAGUUGAUAAAAGAACGAUAUUGCUAUUGCAAUUGAAUUAGGGAGAGAAGGUAAAUAAUGUAACAACUGCUGAACGUUUGAAGAGGGGAAUUUUCUGCGAGGUAUACCUGGACCAAGGCCAAUCUUGACUUCAAUCAUUCAAAAUGAAUUGCGCUCACUUAUCCCUACGCAAUUGAAGAAUAUCGACCAAUGGCGCACAAAUCAGGCUUUUUGGGCUAUGAAUUGGACUCCAAGAUAAAUGUUUAGGGCCCUAACCACUUUCAACGAACUAACCCGAACCCUAUUCUGAGCCCGACCUCUAAAACGGAAACUCUUACUCGAAACACUAUCAUAAUUACCACUCAAGUAAAGCUCCAGAAUGUCCCAAAAUGGUCACAUUUUGACCCAAGUUUGUGUCAGUGCCAGCAAUCCAAAAAAAAAAAACGAUUGAGUGGCUCAAGUUAUAUGUGCAAAAUAUUUUACUGUAAAAAUAGGAAGCAGCGGCUUACAAAACGAGUAGUUUCUUGUACAUCAUUUUGAAAGAAAUAAAGACAUUUUCAAAUUAAAGCAAAACGUUCUUCUGUUUUUUCACUUUUCAUAAAUGCUGUAAAUUAGCAGCAUAACUUUUAGCAUUAUAUCAGCAUACAUAAAUAGAAAACACUUUCGUUAACAAACGAACAGAACUUGAUUUUUAGUCACAAUUUGGCUGCUUUCAAAACAUGCAAUCUGUCAAAUUACAACAAAAUACUUUAGU